AGUGCGAAGAGCAGUAUGUAAAGUGCCAGACCUGUCGGGCAGAAAGAGAACAUCUGCAUACCCUCCAACUUCAGUUCCAAGAAGCUCAUGAUGUAGAUGGCAAAAUGAUAAUUAAGGUCCAGUAUCAAAACCGCAAGAAAUACAUCAAGUUACAAGCUGCUGAUUUCGAGAAAUUAAUUUCUGAAGUGAGAGAGAAGUUCUCGAUCCCUGUGGACAAGAUUACUAUGGAAGAUGAUUCUGGCACUGAGGUGGAUGAAUCUGUGUUUUCAGAAUUAUCCACAGUGGAAG